rnacentral:tRNA from 1 species
GGGGCCGUAGUCUAGCUUGGACUAGGAUGCCGGCCUGACCCGCCGGUGAACCCGGGUUCAAAUCCCGGCGGCCCCACCA